GAGGGUAUAGCUCAGUGGUAAAGCAUGUGCUUAACAUUCACAAAGUUUUGGGUUCCAGCCCCUGUACCUCCA
rfam:Camelus ferus isolate Naran unplaced genomic scaffold scaffold2823, whole genome shotgun sequence.